CGGGCGUCUUAACAUGCAAGUCGAACGAAGAGCGAUGGAAGCUUGCUUCUAUCAAUCUUAGUGGCGAACGGGUGAGUAACGCGUAAUCAACCUGCCCUUCAGAGGGGGACAACAGUUGGAAACGACUGCUAAUACCGCAUACGAUCUAAUCUCGGCAUCGAGGAUAGAUGAAAGGUGGCCUCUACAUGUAAGCUAUCACUGAAGGAGGGGAUUGCGUCUGAUUAGCUAGUUGGAGGGGUAACGGCCCACCAAGGCGAUGAUCAGUAGCCGGUCUGAGAGGAUGAACGGCCACAUUGGGACUGAGACACGGCCCAGACUCCUACGGGAGGCAGCAGUGGGGAAUCUUCCGCAAUGGACGAAAGUCUGACGGAGCAACGCCGCGUGAGUGAUGACGGCCUUCGGGUUGUAAAGCUCUGUUAAUCGGGACAA
rnacentral:rRNA from 1 species